UAAAGUCGGGAUGUAUAGUUUCUAAAUGUCGGCGCAUCUUAGCAGGUACCACCGAACUAUUAGCAAGGAGUUUGCUGCACAACAUACAAAGAGGGUCCAGUUUAAUACAUACAUUCAUUUAUUAUGACUGCUGGCGGAGCCCUACCGGAGGUUUCGCGGAGCACACUUUCAGUAACGCUGGUGUAGAAGAACCUGCUUCAGAUGAAAUUUGUUCAAGCCCCGAAGAUAUUCAAGCUCAAAGUAUAUCAGAUGUGGUAUAUGGGCGAUGAGAUUCCAUAAAACGCAGAGGGAUCAUAAAGCGCCUUCUGAAUAUUAUCGAAGCUCGAACUGUAUUUUCAGGAAGCCAUAUUAAAAAAGAAAACCAGGCAGACAACCCUAGAUGAAUUUCUUACCAAAGAACUGUAGUGUUUGAACUUAAUUUUUUUAAGCUAGAAAGUUUUUUCUAAUUUCUGUAUAAAAAUAAUGAAAAUGCAUUGUCUUUUUGCAAUUUUGUGUUCUUUUUUCUGAAACAACAUUUAUUACAUAAUUAUGUAUACAUACAUACUUUAUAGGUUUUUCCACUAAGCGAACACCUCUCUUGACCGAACAUUUUUUUCCAGUCCCCUGACUGUCCGUUUAUGAGAGGUUUUACUAUAAUACGUAGUUACAUAUUUAUGAAUAUGCAAAAAAAAAUUUUUUAGCCCUUAAUC